UAUCUCACACAAGACAAGUAAAACACAGAAACUAAAUACACAAGUAAAUGAGGGUUAACAAGGGAAGGUGACACAAGGUCUGAGGAACAGGUGAAAGACAUCAGGGUGGGGCAGACAAUCUCAAAGACGGGAAAACCAAAAGGCA